rnacentral:rRNA from 1 species
UACGAAGGGGGCUAGCGUUGCUCGGAAUCACUGGGCGUAAAGGGUGCGUAGGCGGGUCUUUUAAGUCAGGGGUGAAAUCCUGGAGCUCAACUCCAGAACUGCCUCUGAUACUGAGGAGCUCGAGUCCGGGAGAGGUGAGUGGAACUCCGAGUGUAGAGGUGAAAUUCGUAGAUAUUCGGAAGAACACCAGUGGCGAAGGCGGCUCACUGGCCCGGUACUGACGCUGAGGUGCGAAAGGCGUGGGGAGCAAACAGG